UCGAGCCGUGUGCUGGGAAACUAGCAUGCACGGUUCCGAAGGGGGGAAAACUUUAAAGGGUCUACCUAUCCUAAU
rnacentral:ncRNA from 1 species